GAAAGGUGCAUGCUGGACAGUUGAUCCCUUGCUCCCAAUCACGCCUGCUAACUUGUUUCUGCCCCACCAUGCAUUGCCAGAAGUUCACAAAGACAGUGUGCUGCAGAUGGCGAGCUGCAUAAUGGGAUACCAAGCCAUGGUGCAUUGCACUGUGUAAUGCCACAAGCACUCCUGGUGAGUAAGUGCAGUGCUAACGCAAGGAGCCAAGUUUGCAUGCACACAAGUGAUAUACUAGGGUGGCUUUAUAAAAAGUUUGUUGUGCAGACAUGGCCUAAGUCUGUGAACAGUUGAGUUUUCUCCCAGGCAGGAGAUAUGAUGCAAGGAGCCUACCCUGCAGUCUGGCCCACUGAGAGCAGCAACCAGAGGAGCAAAAUGUUCAAAAAAAUCACAUAUGAACUUAGAAGAGGACUUUGUUUUCCAAGGGUGGGAAAAUUUUCUUUGAGAGGAGAAAGGGGACUCAGCUAAGUUGGGUGGGCAUGUUUGUAUCCCUUUCUCCUCACCCUAACAGUGAAGACCAAAUGGAAGUAUGGGAAUUCAAGGCUUGAAGGUCACUGGGAGAAAGUUAACCUGUAUUGUACUGUAUAAUACAUCCGCAUAGGAAAAAGCAAGACAAAAUACACUGACUUCUGGGGAUUAAGAUGACCAAAAAAAUAAAUAAAAACUUAACUUGCAUGUGAGACUUAUGUAACAUUUCAGAAAUCCAAGCAAGAUCUCUGCCUUCAGACCACUAAAGAUGAUGAAGAUGGACUGCAUAUGUUGGGGGUACAGAAUACUAGAUACCCUAAUAGAACUGAGGUCACUUGCUGACUGAACCUUGUAACAGCGAUAGCAGUAAUUCCAGAGCUCUUCCCCAGAGGUAUUAAUGACAAACUACCAAUUGCAGAAAAACGACAAGAUGGAUAAUUAGAAGGGAAACAACAACUGCAACUAAUAGCUUUGAAUGCAAGUCUCAAAAAGCUCCAAAGAUUUUCCUGAAACUAUUUCAGGUAACAAACACCGUGUACAGGUAUCAGUUAUUAAGCUGUACUGUGCUGUCUAAAAAAAAAAAAAAAAAAAUAUCUUGGUGCAGAUAUUUAUCCCCUUGUCACUGUCUAGUGUGGUGGCAACUUACAGAGGAUAUUGUUCAAGGGAAUAAAUUUGAACUGGGAAGCAAAAUCAAAACAACAAAAAAAAACCCCAACAGUUUUCCCUAAAAGAAGGGUUCCAGGUG